UACGUAGGGUGCAAGCGUUAAUCGGAAUUACUGGGCGUAAAGCGUGCGCAGGCGGUUUGUAAGUCUGUCGUGAAAGCCCCGGGCUCAACCUGGGAAUUGCGAUGGAGACUGCAAGGCUUGAAUCUGGCAGAGGGGGUAGAAUUCCACGUGUAGCAGUGAAAUGCGUAGAGAUGUGGAGGAACACCGAUGGCGAAGGCAGCCCCUGGGUCAAGAUUGACGCUCAUGCACGAAAGCGUGGGAGCAAACAGG
rnacentral:rRNA from 1 species